rnacentral:rRNA from 1 species
UACGUAGGGUGCGAGCGUUAAUCGGAAUUACUGGGCGUAAAGCGUGCGCAGGCGGUUCGCUGUGUCCGAUGUGAAAGCCCCGGGCUUAACCUGGGAAUGGCAUUGGAAACUGGCGGGCUUGAGUGCGGCAGAGGGGGGUGGGAAUUCCGCGUGUAGCAGUGAAAUGCGUAGAGAUGCGGAGGAACACCGAUGGCGAAGGCAGCCCCCUGGGUCGACACUGACGCUCAGGCACGAAAGCGUGGGGAGCAAACAGG